CAGCCGUAAACAAUGUGCGUUAGGUGUGUCGGUAACCACGCGUUACUGAUGCGCCGAAGAGAAAUCGUGAAACGCACCACCUGGGAAGUACGGUCGCAAGGCUGAAACUUAAAGGAAUUGGCGGGGGAGCACCACAACAGGUGGAGCCUGCGGUUUAAUUGGAUUCAACGCCGGACAUCUCACCGGAUAAGACAGCUGAAUGAUUGUCAAUCUGAAGGUUUACAUGACUAGCUGAGAGUGGUGCAUGGCGUCAGUGACU
rnacentral:rRNA from 1 species